rnacentral:rRNA from 1 species
CCUACGGGAGGCAGCAGUGAGGAAUAUUGGUCAAUGGGCGCGAGCCUGAACCAGCCAAGUCGCGUGAGGGAAGAAGGUCCUAUGGCUUGUUAACCUCUUUUGUCGGGGAGCAAAAGACGCCCCGCGUGGCGUUCCGAGAGUACCCGAAGAAAAAGCAUCGGCUAACUCCGUGCCACCAGCCGCGGUAAUACGGAGGAUGCGAGCGUUGUCCUGAUUUAUUUGGUUUAAAGGGUGCGCAGGCGGCAGAUUAAGUCAGCGGUAAAAUUGAGAGGCUCAACCCCUUGGAGCCGUUGAAACUGGUUUUCUUGAGUGAGCGAGAAGUAUGCGGAAUGCGUGGUGUAGCGGUGAAAUGCAUAGAUAUCACGCAGAACUACGAUUGCGAAGGCAGCAUACCGGCGCUCAACUGACGCUCAUGCACGAAAGUGUGGGUAUCGAACAGGAUUAGAUACCCCAGUAGUC